CCCAGACCUACAUUUUGAUGCAUAGUAUGUCUCUGAAGUAUUAAAAUUGAAGGCACAGUCGCAGUUUAGAAAUUGCACUUCAAAUUUGAGUUUUGCAGAGUGAAGUUUCAAUGAAUGUCAAUGGACGGCGUUGGUUGCAAACAAAUGGUCAUAUUGUGAAAACUAUCAGGACUACGGCUUAGCCGUUGACAUGUUUAGUGGCAGGAGGGAUAGCUGAACGUUUUGAUAUAAGAUUUGUGUAGGUGGGCCUGAAAAUAAGGGAGUGGUGGC